rnacentral:rRNA from 1 species
GAUGAACGCUGGCGGCGUGCCUAAUACAUGCAAGUCGAGCGAACAGACGAGGAGCUUGCUCCUCUGACGUUAGCGGCGGACGGGUGAGUAACACGUGGAUAACCUACCUAUAAGACUGGGAUAACUUCGGGAAACCGGAGCUAAUACCGGAUAAUAUAUUGAACCGCAUGGUUCAAUAGUGAAAGACGGUUUUGCUGUCACUUAUAGAUGGAUCCGCGCCGCAUUAGCUAGUUGGUAAGGUAACGGCUUACCAAGGCGACGAUGCGUAGCCGACCUGAGAGGGUGAUCGGCCACACUGAAACUGAGACACGGUCCAGACUCCUACGGGAGGCAGCAGUAGGGAAUCUUCCGCAAUGGGCGAAAGCCUGACGGAGCAACGCCGCGUGAGUGAUGAAGGUCUUCGGAUCGUAAAACUCUGUUAUUAGGGAAGAACAUAUGUGUAAGUAACUGUGCACAUCUUGACGGUACCUAAUCAGAAAGCCACGGCUAACUACGUG